rnacentral:rRNA from 1 species
UACGAGAGCCUCGAGCGUUAUCCGGAAUUAUUGGGCGUAAAGGGUGCGUAGGUUGUUCUGUUAGUCUUUUGUCAAAGCCCCGGGCUUAACCUGGGAUAUGCGGAAGAAACGGCAGAACUUGAAAGUGCGAGAGGUGUACGGAACUCAUGGUGUAGGGGUGAAAUCCGUUGAUAUCAUGGGGAACACCAAAAGCGAAAGCAGUACACUGGCGCAUAUUUGACACUGAAGCACGAAAGCAUGGGUAGCGAAUGGG